rnacentral:rRNA from 1 species
CAGUAGCCACGGUAAUACGUAGGUGGCAAGCGUUGUCCGGAAUUAUUGGGCGUAAAGGGCUCGCAGGCGGUCUGACAAGUCAGAUGUGAAAUCCCCGGGCUUAACCUGGGAACUGCAUUUGUGACUGGCGGGCUAGAGUAUGGCAGAGGGGGGUAGAAUUCCACGUGUAGCAGUGAAAUGCGUAGAGAUGUGGAGGAAUACCGAUGGCGAAGGCAGCCCCCUGGGCCAAUACUGACGCUCAUGCACGAAAGCGUGGGGAGCAAACAGGAUUAGAUACCCGCGUAGUCCCUGUCUCUUAUAC